UCUUGUAUCCAUUGACUGUCUUGUUACAUUAACCCAAUAAAUUUCAUUCACUCUGCAUACUCAAUCCUAUAGACACCCUUUUAAUUCUUCAUCACAGAUGUAACUCGAUUUCACAAAACAGUCAAGAGUAAUCAAACCCACUUCAUUAAAAAUCCCGAUUCACCAUUACAACACUGACUUCAGCAACAAUUGCCUCAGUCUUCCCAAAACCCUAUGAAGAAAAAAAAAAAACCCAAUU
rnacentral:lncRNA from 1 species